rnacentral:tRNA from 1 species
UCCUUGAUGGCUCAGAUGGUGAAGAAUCUGCCUGCAAUGCAGGAGACCCAGGUUUGAUCCCUGGAUUAGGAA